GCCCUACAGAUUCCUUACCCCCCAGAUCUAAAUAUUGGUCUGAGUGAUUAAAAAAGAAGGAAAAGUAAAAUUGAAGUGGACUUGGAAUCUUUAAUGGCAUACAUGUUCUUUUGAAAACAUU
ensembl:snoRNA